CAAGGUCACCGUGAAUCGUGGCCUGAUGGGGUAGAUCCAUGAUCCGCUGCAUCCUUGUACCUCGCUUCCUCCUUGCAACCAGCCGCCCAGCAGGCGUAUCCACCACCCGUUUCAAGGAGCAAGUAGAUGUCUGAUCGUGAAACCGGAACCGUCAAAUGGUUCAACGAUGCCAAGGGCUUCGGCUUCAUCAGCCGCGAGAAUGGUGAAGACGUGUUCGUGCAUUUCCGCGCCAUCCAGACCCAGGGCUUCAAGAGCCUGAAGGAAGGCCAGAAGGUCAGCUUCACCGUCGUGCAGGGCCAGAAGGGCCUGCAGGCCGAUGCGGUGCAGCCGGUCUGAGUCUAAAUCGCCGAACCGCGCCCCGGCGCGUGCUCCCAUGAAAAAGCCCGGCUGACGCCGGGCUUUUUCUU
rnacentral:sRNA from 1 species